rnacentral:rRNA from 1 species
UACGGAGGGGGCUAGCGUUGUUCGGAAUUACUGGGCGUAAAGGGCGCGCAGGCGGCUGCUCAAGUCAGGCGUGAAAGGCCUGGGCUCAACCCGGGAAUUGGGCUUGAGACUGGGCUGGCUUGAGUGCGGGAGAGGAUGGUGGAAUUCCCAGUGUAGGGGAGAAAUUCGUAGAUAUUGGGAAGAACACCGGUGGCGAAGGCGGCCAUCUGGACCGCAACUGACGCUGAGUCGCGAAUGCGUGGGGAGCAAACAGG